rnacentral:rRNA from 1 species
GACGAACGCUGGCGGCGUGCUUAACACAUGCAAGUCGAACGAAGUGGCGAACGGGUGAGUAACGCGUAAUCAACCUGCCCUUCAGAGGGGGAAAACAGUUGGAAACGACCGCUAAUACCGAAUACGGACGGAGGGGAUUGCGUCUGAUUGGCUAGUUGGAGGGGAAAUGGCCAACCAGGGCGAUGAGCAGUAGCAGGGCUGAGAGGAUGAACGGCCACAUUGGGACUGAGACACGGCCCAGACUCCUACGGGAGGCAGCAUAGGGGACUCUUCCGCAAUUGACAAAAGUCUUACGGGGCAACUCCGCGUAAGUGAAGUAGGUUUUCGGAUCGUACAACUCUGUUGUUAGAGAAGCGGUAUCUAACCAGAAAGCCACGGCUAACUACGUGCCAGCAGCCGCGGUAAUAC